UCCUGACCACACCCUAUUGUUUUUCUCUUCAGAGGAACAGACUGAGGGCCUGAUCCUGAAAGGAGUUUUGACUUCACUUCCUUAAGAAGACUGAAAAUUGGGCAGACCUGAAGAUUAGGCUUGGAAUUAGGGUCUCAUCACAGACCUCACUCAAGAUACUGUAGUAGAAGUACCUGUUCAAAUGUGACCAUGGAGAGGAAUAAUGUCACCAGGACCAUGACCAUUCUCAGUAACAAUGGUAACAUUAUUUUUUGCUCAUGAAGAUAUGGAUUUGGAGAUGAACUAGACAGUGGUUUUGAGAAGACCCAACUGUCUCACUCCUAGCUUCAAACAUCUAAGACUUAUUCAGUUCUACAUUGUAACAUUGCAAGUCAAGAUGACCUUGGGAAAAAACUGAAUAAAUAAACUGAUAUUAACACUGAUGCUAACCUGAAGUGACAUUUAUGUUUGGCUUUGUGGUUGGUUCAUGGAUUUGUAUGUGUAC
rnacentral:lncRNA from 1 species